GAUGAAGAACGUAGCGAAAUGCGAUAAGUAAUGUGAAUUGCAGAAUUCUGUGAAUCAUCGAAUCUUUGAACGCACAUUGCGCCCCUUGGUAUUCCGAGGGGCAUGCCUGUUCGAGCGUCAUUAUAACCCCUCAAGCUCAGCUUGGUGUUGGGGCCUGCUGCACUGGCAGCCCUUAAAAUCAGUGGCGGCGCCAUCUGGCUCUAAGCGUAGUAAUUCUUCUCGCUAUGGAGUCCUGGUGGAUGCUUGCCAUCAACCCCCAAUUUUUCUAUGGUUGACCUCGGAUCAGGUAGGGAUACCCGCUGAACUUAAGCAUAUCAAUAAGCGGAGGA
rnacentral:misc_RNA from 1 species